ensembl:snRNA U6 U6 spliceosomal RNA
AUGCUCGCUUCGGCAGCACAUAUACUAAAAUUGGAAUGAUGCAGAGAAGAUUAAGAUGGCCCCUGUGCAAGGGUGACAUGCAAAUUCUUGACGCUCUCCAUAUUUUU